UACGGAGGAUGCGAGCAUUAUCCGGAUUUAUUGGGUUUAAAGGGUGCGCAGGCGGCGUGUCAAGUCAGCGGUAAAAUGUCGGGGCUCAACCCCGGCCGGCCGUUGAAACUGGCGUGCUCGAGUUGGAGAGAAGUAUGCGGAAUUCGUGGUGUAGCGGUGAAAUGCAUAGAUAUCACGAAGAACCCCGAUUGCGAAGGCAGCAUACCGGCUCCACACUGACGCUGAGGCACGAAAGCGUGGGUAUCGAACAGG
rnacentral:rRNA from 1 species